GGAUAAACUAAGUAAGGAAAGGAAAGAAUAUAUAUCUGUGUAGAGUCCAGGGUGUGGCAAGAGUCCUUUGUCACUAUUUGCAAGUUUUGUUAUUUGGAUAUUUCAAAACUACACAUAUAUACAAUUACAUAGUUUGUGUAGUGUUUUUUUAAAAGAAGAAAAAGAUGACAAUGUAGCAUAGUAAAUUCUCACCUACACAAUAUUAAUUUACUAAGAAAUAAAAUUGAAUUUUUUGAUGUAUAUAGCAUACAGUAGAGUCUCACUUAUCCAAGAUAAAUGGGCCGGCAGAACAUUGGAAAAGUGAAAAUCUUGGAUAAUAAGGAGGGAUUAAGAAAAAAGCCUAUUAAACAUAAAAUUACAUUAUGAUUUUACAAAUUAAGCACCAAAACAUCAUGUUUUACAAGAAAUUCACAGAAAUAAUAACUAUAACACAUAUAAGGCUUUUCUUCCCCCUCAAUUCCCUUCCUCUUCCUUGGUGACAUAGUAGACAUUUAUUUAGUUCUAAUCUACUAACCAGAGCUCCACUACCCUCACCUUUUUUUUGUUUGUUCCUUGUGUGAUUUUAUUUUGGAAAUGCUUAAUAAAAGUUUAUGCAAAAAAAGAAAGAAAAAAGAAACAACUAUCCACCAAAGUGAGGUUUUUUUUAUAUCCGCAAAAUUAUCCAGAUUUAAACUCAAUUCUUACCCUAUCAAACCUUUCUAGUGCACAGUAACAGCAACAGUAUAAAGCAAUGUAGACUUCUUUCUAGCAAAAGGACGUGUAUUUUAACUGGCAUGUUCAAUGUGCAUUGUAGCACUAUUGUUAUUCAGAUUUAGUCACAAUAUGACGAAACUAUAAGUGUUCAAUUAAACCACUGUCUUCCAGAAACCUCUGCAGAGAAGGGGAAUAAUAUCUGAUCGCUGUGUUAAUCAUUUGCUAAAGUAUAAACAAACCUAUUAGAUAUUAUCCUUCUGCUAUUUCCACAACUAAGGAAAGUCUUCUCAGAAGGAAAAGUGUGCUUAGCAAAAUUCAGAGAAGGAAACUACAUAACGCUUCAGGCCUAGAAACAAUGUCUUCUGCAACCAUAACUGCUUCUCAACAUUUGGAAGACCUGAAAACUCGGAUUCUGACAAAUGACUGGGCUCUCGCGGGACUGGUGGUGAUAGCUUCGUUUAUCACUGUCAUCAUCGCCCUCCUCUUAUUUGCCAUUGUCUUUGGCUGUUGCUCACCUUCAAGGAAUAAAGCAGGUUCCAUAUAAACAGCAAAUAACCGUCUGCUCUGGGGAAUUUCAAGAGUGCUACAUUGUGACCAAGAAGUGAAAAGUACUGUUGUUUCUUGUCACCCUUAUUUCACUUAAGUGGGCAUUACCGUUAACAAUGGCAUAUAACUGAUGUCAAAUGGAAUUGGAAUUAAAAAGCCAUGUGCUGACAAGUCUCUGACUUAAUACUAGGCCUUUUUUUAGCAAGACACUUGUAAAUAAAUGCCUUUUUAUAAGAAUUGUGAAUUUUAAAUAUUUGAAAAUAAAUAAUAAAUUGAAUUUCAUGCCGUAAAAUGUA